CUUUCUUACACCAAGUAUUUCCUGUGAGUCUAUUUACUCCAGGUCAAUAUAAGAAGAGGCUCACAAAGCUACAGAACUAAAAGAUGCAGUUACUAGGCUAGGAGCGGCCAGGUUUCUUGCUUUCCCAUAGCAGAGCUGGGAGCAUUUCAGA